rnacentral:rRNA from 1 species
UACGUAGGGGGCGAGCGUUGUCCGGAUUUAUUGGGCGUAAAGAGCGUGUAGGCGGCCAGGUAGGUCUGCUGUGAAAACUCGAGGCUCAACCUCGAGACGUCGGCGGAAACCAUCUGGCUAGAGUCCGGAAGAGGAGAGUGGAAUUCCUGGUGUAGCGGUGAAAUGUGCAGAUAUCAGGAAGAACACCAACGGCGAAGGCAGCUCGCUAGGACGGUACUGACGCUGAGACGCGAAAGCGUGGGGAGCGAACAGG